ACUGUCAUCUCAACCACCCCACCCACCCUCUCCAUCCACCCUUCCCACUUUAAGAGACGUCUACUCAGAGAGCUUGAUUGCAGAGAGCAGUGUUGACUGGCCACACACAGCAUGGGUGCACUUGCCAAUGGGGGGGGGGGUCUACAAAAACUAGCUUCUCCAACCCGAACUGGCUCCAAACAUUUGAGAAGAUCUGGAGGAUAAAAAUGAAGACAAACCAACAUAUAUAUAAAAAGAAGUUGCUGAAAAUGGGAGUCUGGUUGGGAAGCUAGCUACCUUUGUGAUGGUUUGGACUUUCCCCUUAGCCCCUGCCUGGCCCCGACUGAUCAAUAUGAGGAGGAGUACUAAGUGCUUUCUGACAGUACUGUGAGGGAUGUCUAACAGGGGUGUCUCUCUUACCCGAAUCCUCCCACGUUGGCGGCUGCCGUUCCCUCUCCAAACACCUUGCUGGCUGAGGAGCCCAUGGGACUGCUAAAAGAGGGUGCUGAGCCAAACGCUGCUGCCCCCCCAAAAGCUGGGGAGCCCCCAAAAGCAGGAGGGCUACCGAACACAGGGGCGCUCCCAAAACCACCUGUAGGGGUACAGAGAGAGGGGUGUGUGAGGAAGGGUCAGGUGGUUGACUUUGCAUUUGAUAAAAUACGUGUGAGAGGGAUGGUUACAUGAAUACGCUUGACAUGUGUAUGAGCAAUAUUGUUGUAUUGGUUGAGACGGGGGAUGGAAGAACGUCUCAGGGGACACUAACCAUACAUAAUAGCAAAGGCUUCAAAAAUAGAGGCACCGUUUACCUUAUUCCUACAUUUUGAGCCAUGUGUAUAUGUCACAGCUGGUGAUGCCCUAAAAAUAACAUCCCAACAUGA